UACAGAGGUCUCAAGCGUUGUUCGGAUUCAUUGGGCGUAAAGGGUGCGUAGGCGGCGCGGUAAGUCGGGUGUGAAAUCUUGGAGCUUAACUCCGAAACUGCAUUCGAUACUGCCGUGCUUGAGGACUGGAGAGGAGACUGGAAUUUACGGUGUAGCGGUGAAAUGCGUAGAUAUUGGGAGGAACACCGGUGGCGAAGGCGGCUCUCUGGACCGGUACUGACGCUGAUACGCGAAAGCCAGGGGAGCAAACGGG
rnacentral:rRNA from 1 species